rnacentral:misc_RNA from 1 species
CUGUCCGAGCGUCAUUACAACCCUCAAGCUCUGCUUGGUGUUGGGCCCCGCCGCCUCGGCGGGCCCUAAGUCAGUGGCGGUGCAUCCGGCUCCGAGCGUAGUAAUUCUUCUCGCUCUGGAGGUCCGGUUGUGUGCUUGCCAUCAACCCCCAAUUUUUUCAGGUUGACCUCGGAUCAGGUAGGGAUACCCGCUGAACUUAA